CCAAGGAGCAGGUAUCAGGCACAACCAUUUAGCCCAAAACACCUUGCUACGCCACACCCACACGGGCACCCAGCAGUGAUAAACAUUAAGCAAUGAGCAAAGCCAGUCUAAGCUCGACUUAGUUAUGAUCAUUAGGGCCGGUAAACCUCGUGCCAGCCACCGCGGUUACACGAGGGGCCCAAAACAGCAGACACCGGCGUAAAUUGUGACUAGAGCACCUACUUCUGAGAAAUAAACAAAAGCCCGACCGUAAAACCUGGGCCAAAAGAAACACACCUUCUCAACCACAAAGUAGCUUGAACCCACGAAGACUAAGAAACAAACUAGGAUUAGAUACCCUACUAUGCUUAGUUGUCAACACGACACCAAAAAACAACAGUGUCCGCCAGAGAAUUACACGCGAAAAGCUUAAAACUCAAAGGACUUGGCGGUGCUCCGUAUUCGUCUUAGAGGAGCCUGUCCUAUAAUCGAUAACCCACGUUUUACCUUACCAUCUUUUGUCAAAACAGCCUAUAUACCGCCGUCGCAAACUUACCCCAUGAGGGCACAACAGUAAGUAAAAAAGUAACACACUAACACGUCAGGUCAAGGUGUAGCUAAUAAGAUGGAAGAGAUGGGCUACAUUUUCUAAAACAGAACACACGGCAAAGGACAUUGAAACAGAUGCCCUCAAAGGUGGAUUUAAUAGUAAGAUAGAAAAGAAAGCCUAUCUAAAACCCGUUCCGGAGCG
rnacentral:rRNA from 1 species